CCGGCCCUCGAGGCCUGGAGUUGGGGACCCCUGGUCUGAUGCAUGAAUGACAUGUCAUCGCUCUUCACAGACAUUCUCCUCUCUGCCACACCCUGCACCCACACUGAUGGUCUUAAUGUCCACAAUUAACUUCAAGUCACCGCCCAGUCUGGCUGAAGUAGGCUCCUGGUAUUCAUGUGGAUGUCUUUUUGACACAUGCCACCCACCUAAACACUGCAAAGUAAGCACCCCACACCAUGGAUGGAAAUGGCACUCCACCCAAAACGGCACAAAAAAUCUGAUUCCAAGAUUCCCAGAUCCCAGUACUGAUCA